rnacentral:rRNA from 1 species
ACGGCUCAGUAACACGUGGACAACCUACCCUUAGGUCGGGGAUAAACCCGGGAAACUGGGUAUAAUACCCGAUAGUCCUCGGAUGCUGGAAUGCACCGAGGUCUAAAGCUCCGGCGCCUAAGGAUGGGUCUGCGGCCUAUCAGGUAGUAGUGGGUGUAGCGUACCUACUAGCCUACGACGGGUACGGGUUGUGAGAGCAAGAGCCCGGAGAUGGAUUCUGAGACACGAAUCCAGGCCCUACGGGGUGCAGCAGGCGCGAAAACUUUACAAUGCUGGAAACAGCGAUAAGGGAACCUCGAGUGCCAGGUUACAAAUCUGGCUGUCGUGAUGCCUAAAAAGCAUUGCAUAGCAAGGGCCGGGCAAGACCGGUGCCAGCCGCCGCGGUAACACCGGCGGCUCGAGUGGUAACCGCUAUUAUUGGGUCUAAAGGGUCUGUAGCCGGCCGGAUAAGUCUUUUGGGAAAUCUGGCAGCUUAACUGUCAGGCUUUCAGAGGAUACUGUCUGGCUCGAGGCCGGGAGAGGUGAGAGGUACUUCAGGGGUAGGGGUGAAAUCUUGUAAUCCUUGAAGGACCACCAGUGGCGAAGGCGUCUCACCAGAACGGACCUGACGGCAAGGGACGAAAGCUAGGGGCACGAACCGGAUUAGAUACCCGGGUAGUCCUAGCCGUAAACGAUACUCGCUAGGUGUCGGCCACGGUGCGACCGUUGUCGGUGCCGUAGGGAAGCCGUGAAGCGAGCCACCUGGGAAGUACGGCCGCAAGGCUGAAACUUAAAGGAAUUGGCGGGGGAG